UACGUAGGGGGCAAGCGUUGUCCGGAUUUAUUGGGCGUAAAGAGCGUGUAGGCGGCCAAACAGGUCAGCUGUGAAAACUCGAGGCUCAACCUCGAGACGUCGGUUGAAACCGUAUGGCUAGAGUCCGGAAGAGGAGAGUGGAAUUCCCGGUGUAGCGGUGAAAUGCGCAGAUAUCGGGAAGAACACCGGUGGCGAAGGCGGGACUCUGGGCCGAUACUGACGCUGAGGAGCGAAAAGCGUGGGGAGCGAACAGG
rnacentral:rRNA from 1 species